CUUAAAAUAAAUUACAGCUAAUUGUUUUAAUUCUAAGAUUAUCGUUGGCGUAGAAAACAGUUUCCCCUUGGUUCGUAUGCCUAUGACAAACUGUCGAACCAAAGCCGAGAGUUGGCAAUCACGUAAUCUUGGUUAGCUGUUCUCAAUGCUUUCGCAACACUAUCAUGUAUAAGUUCUUUGUAUGUUUGCAUGGAGUAAUAAAUUUACGUGGUGUUUCCACAAACAAAACUAUUAUACUAUCAUGUAUUUUAUUUAAGUUGCAAUACUCUCGUUUGACCAGGACUUAAGUUGUCAAAAUUGU